CACUUCAGUCCUUCCUAAAAACUGUCCAGUGAGGGAUUUUGCGCUCCUCCGCCUUUGAACUGCGUGUCCUUCCAAGUGAUUCGUUAUGGCAGAAGAAGAAAAGGAAAAGGCGACUGAUAAGUGGUCGUUUUGGUUAGAGUUAGCCAAGACCGUCCUUAUAUUUUUGGCUGUGUGCGGAUUUGGAGCGAUGCUUUUGGGUUACAACGUCAGCACGUGCGUGUAUGCAGCGGCGGGCAUGAAGAUGUGCUGGAUGGCUUCCCGACAGCUGAUGAAGGCGUGACCCCCCCCCCCCCCCUCUUCGCCCUCCGGACCAAAGACCACUUCUCUUUAGGGUCUUUUCCAUGGUCUUCAGCGCUGCUCUCCGUCCACCGCCAAGCGUCAAGACCAAGGCAGCGUGACACCAGAGGGCGGGAACUGACAACACGACGAAAGUUCGAAAAAUUUACAGGACUUUAUAUAUGUGUGUAAUAAACAAACUGUCGCCAAGAGUGAGAACUGUCGACGAAAAAAAUAAAUUUGAAGGUGCUUUCAAAUAACGGGAAAAAUGUUAUCUAAGCAUCCCGUUGUGCCAGGACAGCUCAGAUUAAACUCUUUUAUAUUUA